AGUGAACGCUGGCGGUAGGCCUAACACAUGCAAGUCGAACGGCAGCACAGUAAGAGCUUGCUCUUACGGGUGGCGAGUGGCGGACGGGUGAGGAAUACAUCGGAAUCUACUUUUUCGUGGGGGAUAACGUAGGGAAACUUACGCUAAUACCGCAUACGACCUACGGGUGAAAGCAGGGGAUCUUCGGACCUUGCGCGAUUGAAUGAGCCGAUGUCGGAUUAGCUAGUUGGCGGGGUAAAGGCCCACCAAGGCGACGAUCCGUAGCUGGUCUGAGAGGAUGAUCAGCCACACUGGAACUGAGACACGGUCCAGACUCCUACGGGAGGCAGCAGUGGGGAAUAUUGGACAAUGGGCGAAAGCCUGAUCCAGCCAUACCGCGUGGGUGAAGAAGGCCUUCGGGUUGUAAAGCCCUUUUGUUGGGAAAGAAAAGCAGCAGGUUAAUACCCCGCUGUUCUGACGGUACCCACAGAAUAAGCACCGGCUAACUUCGUG
rnacentral:rRNA from 1 species